CCAGCAGCCGCGGUAAUUCCAGCUCCAAUAGCGUAUAUUAAAGUUGUUGCAGUUAAAAAGCUCGUAGUUGGAUUUCUGGUACGGCGUGCCUGGUCCGCCCCUUUUUAUGGUGUGUGUGUACCGGUGCCCGCCUGCCAUCCUUCCAGGGAGCGGUCAUUUUUUAUUGCCUACCCUUCACUGGGCCGGGCCCGCGACCUGGAUCGUUUACUUUGAAAAAAUUAGAGUGUUCAAAGCAGGCUUCCCAGCCUUGAAUACAUUAGCAUGGAAUAAUAAGAUAGGACUCUGGUCCUAUUUUGUUGGUUUCUAGGACGAGAGUAAUGAUUGAUAGGGACAGUUGGGGGUGCUCGUAUUGAACGGCCAGAG
rnacentral:rRNA from 1 species